UGGUUUUCGGAUGGCCGCUCGGAGCGACACCGCGCCGGGUCCGAGGCUGGAAGCCAGGAGCAGGAGCCGGAGCAAGACGCCUCGGAUUAAAUCCAUUUCGCCGCCGGCGCCUGCAAAGUUUCACCAAGUCCCGGGCGCACACGGAAAGGGCGUCUCCGGGGGCGCGUGGGGGACGCGGCCCCAACGGAUCCCCGGGCCGGGACGAGGAGAUGGGGGGCUGCGAGGGCUGGGCCCGGAACCACGGGCAGUUCCAAGAGUUUCGCGGUAGUGCCUGGAGAGGGGAGACCCUGCCUGGGACACACGUCCCGUUGCAUACUGGCGUUCUGACCUCCAAACCAGCGAGAAGAGAAAGCAGAUACAAUAAAUAAACCAAGAGGGAAUAAACUUAGAGGCAAACGCGGCCCUCGGCAGUUCCUGGGGAAAGAUCAAAGGCCGUAGGAAGUGCCCCGCAGAGGAAAUCUGCAGUCACCAGCGAGAGGACCGCGCCCGCCCCCUCCCCACCUUGCAGCGCUGCCAGGACUCAGUGGGCGUCCUGGCUCUUCACAGUUAGCUUAUGUUUGGGAGCGCGGGAGGAAACAUUGUUGACUGAUACAUUCUUCUCCCCUCCCCAGCCCCCCAAACACACACACACA
rnacentral:lncRNA from 1 species